rnacentral:rRNA from 1 species
UGGCGGACGGGUGAGUAACACGUGGGUAACCUGCCCUUAAGUGGGGGAUAACAUUUGGAAACAGAUGCUAAUACCGCAUAAAUCCAAGAACCGCAUGGUUCUUGGCUGAAAGAUGGCGUAAGCUAUCGCUUUUGGAUGGACCCGCGGCGUAUUAGCUAGUUGGUGAGGUAACGGCUCACCAAGGCAAUGAUACGUAGCCGAACUGAGAGGUUGAUCGGCCACAUUGGGACUGAGACACGGCCCAAACUCCUACGGGAGGCAGCAGUAGGGAAUCUUCCACAAUGGACGCAAGUCUGAUGGAGCAACGCCGCGUGAGUGAAGAAGGCUUUCGGGUCGUAAAACUCUGUUGUUGGAGAAGAAUGGUCGGCAGAGUAACUGUUGUCGGCGUGACGGUAUCCAACCAGAAAGCCACGGCUAACUACGUGCCAGCAGCCGCGGUAAUACGUAGGUGGCAAGCGUUAUCCGGAUUUAUUGGGCGUAAAGCGAGCGCAGGCGGUUUUUUAAGUCUGAUGUGAAAGCCCUCGGCUUAACCGAGGAAGUGCAUCGGAAACUGGGAAACUUGAGUGCAGAAGAGGACAGUGGAACUCCAUGUGUAGCGGUGAAAUGCGUAGAUAUAUGGAAGAACACCAGUGGCGAAGGCGGCUGUCUGGUCUGUAACUGACGCUGAGGCUCGAAAGCAUGGGUAGCGAACAGGAUUAGAUACCCUGGUAGUCCAUGCCGUAAACGAUGAAUGCUAGGUGUUGGAGGGUUUCCGCCCUUCAGUGCCGCAGCUAACGCAUUAAGCAUUCCGCCUGGGGAGUACGACCGCAAGGUUGAAACUCAAAGGAAUUGACGGGGGCCCGCACAAGCGGUGGAGCAUGUGGUUUAAUUCGAAGCAACGCGAAGAACCUUACCAGGUCUUGACAUCUUUUGAUCACCUGAGAGAUCAGGUUUCCCCUUCGGGGGCAAAAUGACAGGUGGUGCAUGGUUGUCGUCAGCUCGUGUCGUGAGAUGUUGGGUUAAGUCCCGCAACGAGCGCAACCCUUAUGACUAGUUGCCAGCAUUUAGUUGGGCACUCUAGUAAGACUGCCGGUGACAAACCGGAGGAAGGUGGGGAUGACGUCAAAUCAUCAUGCCCCUUAUGACCUGGGCUACACACGUGCUACAAUGGAUGGUACAACGAGUUGCGAGACCGCGAGGUCAAGCUAAUCUCUUAAAGCCAUUCUCAGUUCGGACUGUAGGCUGCAACUCGCCUACACGAAGUCGGAAUCGCUAGUAAUCGCGGAUCAGCACGCCGCGGUGAAUACGUUCCCGGGCCUUGUACACACCGCCCGUCACACCAUGAGAGUUUGUAACACCCGAAGCCGGUGGCGUAACCCUUUUAGGGAGCGAGCCGUCUAAGGUGGGACAAAUGAUUAGG